rnacentral:rRNA from 1 species
UGGGGAAUAUUGGACAAUGGGCGAAAGCCUGAUCCAGCGACGCCGCGUGAGUGAUGAAGGCCUUAGGGUUGUAAAGCUCUUUUGGUGGGGAAGAUAAUGACGGUACCCACAGAAAAAGUCCCGGCUAACUUCGUGCCAGCAGCCGCGGUAAUACGAAGGGGGCUAGCGUUACUCGGAAUUAUUGGGCGUAAAGCGUGCGCAGGCGGCUUAGUAAGUUGAAAGUGAAAUCCCAGAGCUCAACUCUGGAACUGCUUUCAAAACUGCUUAGCUAGAGUGUCAGAGAGGGUAGUAGAAUUCCUAGUGUAGAGGUGAAAUUCGUAGAUAUUAGGAGGAAUACCAGAGGCGAAAGCGACUACCUGGCUGGAUACUGACGCUGUUGCACGAAAGCGUGGGGAGCAAACAGG